rnacentral:lncRNA from 10 species
CAGAUCCUGGCUCUGUCCUGUCCCCCCUGUGUGACCUCAGCACAUUCCUGCACCUCUCUUAACAAACCCUGCCAACAGCUGAGUUGCUUAGCACCUGCUAUGUCGUGCAGCUUGGAGACCCUGCGCACCCUUUACCAGGACCCUGUCUCCCAAAGCUCGGUGAGGCGCCUGGUCAUCCCCCAGGAUGUGGGAGGCCGAGGCUGGGAGCAGAGGGCGGCCCGCACCUGCCACAGGGCUGAUCUAGGCUGGGGCUGGGAUUGGAAUUCCAUCCCCAGGUGCCCCCGACAUGAGGGGGAAAAACCUCCCAGCAAUUCUCAUUGCAAGAUGGUAAACCUGUCGCCCUAAUGAACAGCUUUCAUUUAGAACCCAGCGAGAAGGGGCGCACCGGGAGACGGCAGCUUUGUUGACUGCGAUGUUUCCAAAUCACUUGCUCAACCUGCAGCGUUCCCAUGGAGCUUGGAGCGCCCAGCAUAGGGCUUUAUUGUUGUUUUGAGGCAAGAAAGAAGUUUUCAGAAGCCAUACUUUGUGCUGAUUCAUGUUUCACCCUUGUGCCUACAAAGUCUCCCUCAAAUGGGUAUCCUGGUCCUCUUGCAUGCCUCUGAUGAUGGGAUGCUCACUACUUCCCAGUGCAGCCCCC